rnacentral:lncRNA from 10 species
AACAGGUCAAAAAUGACAUUUUGAAGAUUAGUCUUGCAUCAAUAACCAGGAUGUUUUGAAAUGGAAGAAAUUGGACACAGGGAGACCAAAGAAGCUACUGUUACGGUAAUGCACGUGAGAAAUGAAUUAGGUGAAAACAUUGUAUACGAAGAGAAAAAGAUGAGCUCUCAUAAUUUGGAGAAGAAAAAACCCCAUAAACUUACAGUGACAGAAGAGACAUCCAUAACAAAGGAUUGGGAAUAGAUAA